ACUUAUGCUGAUUUAAGGCAGCCUACAGGCAGUCUGACUCCUGCUAAGCAGCAGCACGUUCCAUGGGACUUCCAGAAAGUCAGUGUGCUGGGGGUGCUGCUGCUGCUGCUGCUGCUGCUGGUGGGGCUCAGCGUGUGGGUCUUUCAGAAAACAACUCCAUCUCCAAGCACUGCCCAGCACUGCCCUGAGACCAACGGGAUGAAGGGG
ensembl:lncRNA